rnacentral:rRNA from 1 species
UACGUAGGGCGCAAGCGUUGUCCGGAAUUAUUGGGCGUAAAGAGCUCGUAGGCGGCUUGUCACGUCGGGUGUGAAGGCCCGGGGCUUAACCCCGGGUCUGCAUUCGAUACGGGCUAGCUAGAGUGUGGUAGGGGAGAUCGGAAUUCCUGGUGUAGCGGUGAAAUGCGCAGAUAUCAGGAGGAACACCGGUGGCGAAGGCGGAUCUCUGGGCCAUUACUGACGCUGAGGAGCGAAAGCGUGGGGAGCGAACAGG